UUCCUGCUUACGGAUCUCCUCUUUUCUGGCUUCUGCCCUAGCACUUCUCUGCACCUCGUAGAUGAUUGCAGUACCAGCGACCUGAAAAAUCAUAGUAAAAUGUUCAGAAUUUUCUGGUAUUAACAGACAAAAACUCAUUUAGAAUAACUGAGAUCAAAGUACUUGCCGAGAAAACAAAUAGUUCACCAAGAAGAUCUGCGGCAGCUUGAAUUGCCUUCUCCUCAUUCAGGGGCCGAAUGUGAAUGUCAGUUGCACGGCCAUAAAGCCGCCUCUGCAUGUUUGUAGUGAAACGAUGGUUUACCUGAACAUAAUGUGCCAUACACCUUGUCAGUACAGUAGUAAAAAAAAUUUUCUGCUCAAACUAAAACAAAGGCAUGCAUGAGUUAGGAUAAGAAGAAUUCAUCCAUUUUACUGUGCUCAGGUCGCCAAUAAUCUCAGCCUAAAAUUCUUUGAUGUUCUACAGAAGGAUUGAGCAGCAGCAUUAUCUAUUCAUGGUUUCAGAUUAAUCUUAUUUGAAAGAUACCCAUCAUCAGUAUAUGCAGAUGUAUUCAUAGUUUCAGAUCAAUCUUAUUUGGAAGAUACCCAUCAUCAGUAUAUGCAUAUAGAUGAUCAGGGAUGAAGACGAGACGUCACCUGGGCGAGGCCGAUGAUGAAGCCGCGGAACUUGGGGUGGAUCCCGGCGUUGUGCUUGAGGCGGGCCGCGAUGGGCUUGCUCAGCGUCCGGAACGCGAGCGACCCGAGCUUCACCAAUGGCAGCACCAU
rnacentral:sRNA from 1 species